AGGGAGGCCUGGGCAGCGCUGUUCCCCCAGACAGCGGCACCCUGAGGAGGGGGUGUGCGCCCCCCGAGGGGUGGGGGAGGCCUGGAGGGGGGUCAGAGCAGGGCCCCGUGAGGGCCGCCUCCCUGCUUGCCUCUCCGCGGGUCUCACCAGGCGGGGAAUGGCCAUCGCCCCCCAGACCUCUCCUCCUCCCCUGACGCCCUGCUCUCUGGCCCCCCAUGGACACCACCUUCCACCCCUACCCUUGCCAUGGCCUCUGUGGGCCCCCGGCCCCCCAGUCCCUGCACCUGCUUGGUGCUUGCUGAACACAGACCCAGCCACGCCCUCUGUGCCCGGCGGUGGGGGCUCCUGGGGGCUCUGGGCUCCCCUGCUCCUGCUGGCUCAUCUGGCGUCCUCUGCGGCAGGAGUCUGGGCUGUGAAGGAGGCUAUUUUUAGCCUGUUAUCCCGUAACUAUCUUGCCUCUGUUUCGCCCUGUGCUUGGUACGGCUCUGCCAGAGAGCGUCAGUCUGCGCCCGCUCGGGGGAGCCGUCCAAAGUACGCGAAGAAUGAAGAGCCACCCUGGAGCAGGUGGGCGUCAGCCUGGUGCAGUUCUCGGCCCGGGAUCCGGGUGCUGCCCUGGGCGUCCCCCGACCUAGUCCCGACCUCCUCCUGGCUUUGACCGAGGCCUGGCGCAAGGAGCUGAACGCUGGCUCCAAAACCCGCGCGCGAGCAGGUGCUUCCCAUCGCUCACCACACUAAGGGGCUUCAGGACAGAAGGGGCCGAUCACAUCCCUUGAUGUGAGAAGAGAGUUGAGAAAAGGUAACGCUCGGGUUGCGGGUUACGAUAAAAACUCAGCAAAGCAGGAGGAGAGGGGAGCUCCUCCAGCCCGAGCAGGGGAGUCUACAGGAACGGACACUGACUCGGUCACCAGCGCUAAGAGGCCAAAGGUUUUCCCACUAAGAUCGAGAGUAGUGGAAAUCCUAGCUACUGAACGAAGGCGAGAAGCACACAUGGACGCACACGCACACGUUGAAAAGGAGGAGGGGGUGGCCCGGGGGGCUCGGCUCAGCG
rnacentral:lncRNA from 1 species